GACGAACGCUGGCGGCGUGCUUAACACAUGCAAGUCGAACGGAAAGGCCCUGCUUUUGUGGGGUGCUCGAGUGGCGAACGGGUGAGUAACACGUGAGUAACCUGCCCUUGACUUUGGGAUAACUUCAGGAAACUGGGGCUAAUACCGGAUAGGAGCUCCUGCUGCAUGGUGGGGGUUGGAAAGUUUCGGCGGUUGGGGAUGGACUCGCGGCUUAUCAGCUUGUUGGUGGGGUAGUGGCUUACCAAGGCUUUGACGGGUAGCCGGCCUGAGUGGGUGACCGGCCACAUUGGGACUGAGAUACGGCCCAGACUCCUACGGGAGGCAGAAGUGGGGAAUAUUGCACAAUGGGCGGAAGCCUGAUGCAGCAACGCCGCGUGCGGGAUGACGGCCUUCGGGCUGUAAACCGCUUUCGCCUGUGACGAAGCGUGAGUGACGGUAAUGGGUAAAGAAGCACCGGCUAACUACGUG
rnacentral:rRNA from 1 species